GAAUGUUCUAGUAUGUAGGUCAAGAUGGUGAGAAAUGUUGAAAUCAUGGUGCUUGGGGAUGUUGGCAUGGCUGUCUGCUUCUCCAGAAAGGCUUACUGGAGCUUCAAGAGAAGAUCAAAUAGCACUCUUGUAGGUUGUCUUAGCAGCUUGAUAUCACCCAAAUAGGCAGAAUAACCAUGUGAUCUGAAGAUAGUCACUAGAUAUCUUUAUGCCAUCAAAAGAUCCCAGUGAAGCAAGACAUUCGACAGCAGCUCUGAUCCUUGCCUGCACUUACAAAGGCAUCUUCCCAAGGGUUUCCCUAAGUGGAAAUACUUUCUUACAAGGAAGUCCAAGAACAUCCAGACAUCAUGGAGCUUCCCGCAUGAGUGCCACUGUGAGCCACUGGAGGUCUGCAGUGCCAGAGCUGAGGGCCCUGGGAACCCAAGCAGCCUUUUCAGGGUCCCACGGAGGCCAUCAAACAGCACGGCCAUGGACCAGGGCCCAUGGAGGCCCAGGAUGGAGAUGGCUCAGAUGUUCUAGCUCUUUGGUUUCAAGAACACUGACUGACUGCUGCUCCCUGUUGAGAGCUCAGCAUGUCAAGCCUGGCUGCACAGAAGAAUCCCUGAAGAAGGUUAAAAUGAGCAUAUUGGGCUUCACUCAGAGAAAUCUAAUUUAAGAGGGUUUGCAUAGGUCUUGAAGGCAACUGUUUCAAAGCUUUGAAGGUGGGAACCACUAUUGCAGACCUAAUCUCUGCCAUAGGCUAUAUCAUUGUCACAGACUAGAUCUCAGCUACACAUGGAUCACUACUUCAGGCUGCAACAUUGUCACAGACUAGGUUACAUCCUCAGAUUAUGUUACUGCCUCUGACCACAUCACUGUGUGUAUCAGUCCACUUUGCACUACCAUAACACAGUACCUGAGGCAAGCUAUUUCACAAAGAAAAUAAUUUUCUUUUUUAGCUCACAGUCUUGAAGGCUAAAAGUCAAAAAGACCAGGCAGCCCCAUUGGUUUGGCACCUGGUGGAUGACAUCAUGGUGAGUGUUUGCAAGAGGGAGAGAUCACACUGGAAACCGGAGAAGUGGCUCAGAGGCCAGACUAGGUCUUCUAACAACCCAGUUUCUCAAACACUAACUCAGAGACCCAGGAGAACUACUUUAAUCUCCCUUGAGAGAAGCAUUCCCAGUGACUGAUCCCCCCUUACACCUCAAAAUUGGCAAGAGUUAGGACAAGCUCCCAACACACGAAUCCUUGGGGAACAAAUUCAAAUCAUAUCCAAGCCACAGCUUGUCUCAGACUUAAUUACCUCCUGAGUCUGGAUCCCUGCCUCACACUAGGUCACCACCUUCAGACUAGUCAGCACCCGAGACUGGAUCACUACCCUAGAAGUUUCAGUGCUUUUCAACCGGCACUUCAUUCGAAUUACUCUGAAGGCCACUGGGUUGGGAAGAAGCAGCGGAAGAGUUCAGCGCAUAGCCCCUUCCAGCUUGGAAAGGGUGUGCAUAGUGUACCAUGCACAGCACCAAGUUCCUGUACAAACAGAACCCCACUGUUACGAGUCGGUCUGAUAUGCGGUGCAGAGUCGGGCAGAAGAGAGCUUAGUGUCUCAGGAAAUUGCUGGACUUUUCAAAAGGUCAGCAUGCAGAGUUUUAGCACCAAAGUUAAGGCCUGAAGGAAAUCAGGUCAUUGUCUCCGCC